rnacentral:lncRNA from 1 species
CCCACGCCAAGUUUCCUCUCUGGAAUGCUGAGCUUUUCUAGAGAGAAAUCAAAAAAUCACUCGUUGACCCUGAAAAUGUUUCUGGUUUUUGGUGUUUCCUCACUUUGCUCCGAGUAGGUGGAGCCAGCCAAUAAUUUUAACAAAAGAGGUGGUGGAAGGAAGGGCGAUAGCGAUCUCUGCAGUGACUGAGCCCGAGAUUAUGCGAGGUAAGUGGGCAGUCGGGGCUGGGCUUGGCCGUAAAUAAAUCAAUCAUUGCUUCUUUCCAAGAGGAGGACCAGAUCCUAUAUAAAAGUUCUCCCACACCACGUUCCCUCAGUCCCGUUGACUCCUUUCCACUGGUUCGUGCCGUGGGACACGGACUCCCAUCACACAGACCAUGGGCUCCCACCAGCAGAAGGGCGACGGCCAAGGGAUGUCCGAGCAGUCCGGAGGGUGCCACGGCGGCGGGUGGCGGCUGCGGCUGCUGCUGCCAUCACGGAGGAGGUGGAGGAGGAGGAGGAUGCUGCCACAGCAGCGGUGGAGGAGGAUACCAGACCCAGGGAUCGUCCUGCCACGGAGGAGGAGGAGGAGGAGGAGGCUGCUGCGGUGGCGGCGGUGGCAGCGGUGGCGGUGGUCACCAGGGCCAAGGUCCCAUCUGCAUUGGAGGGGGAGGAGGAGGAGGUGGUGGUGGUGGGCAACAAAGCCAAGGUCCCAUUGUUAUUAGUGGAGGAGGUGGUGGUGGUGGAGGCUCAGGGCAGCAAAGCCAAGGGCCCAUCUGCAUCGGUGGGGGUGGCAAGGGAGGAGGAGGAGGAGGAGGAGGUGGUGGCUCAGGCCACCAGGGCCAAGGUCCCAUCAUCAUCAGUGGUGGUGGAGGAGGAGGAGGAGGAGGCUCAGGGCAGCAAAGCCAUGGCCCCGUGUGCAUUGGGGGAGGCAGUGGAGGAGGAGGAGGAGGCUCAGGCCACCAGGGCCAGGGUCCUGUCGUCAUCAUCGGGGGCGGUGGUGGAGGUGGAGGUGGCUCCUCCAGCUCUGGAGGAAUGUCCAUGCAGCAGCAGACCCAGCCCAUCUGCUGGCCACCGCAGACCAAGCGCAAGUAGUGGCUGCCAGAAGGACUCUGCCACCAAGGAAGCCCAAGAUAUGAAGAUGCCUGACAUUUCCUCACCUAUUAAAUUUAAGAUUAUUUGCCUUGUUCUCUUCUCCCUUCCCCUGGGAAUGUUCUGACCGGAACCUCUGGUGUUGCGUAUCCAUAACUCCAGCCAGGGCUGUUCCGUGUGCCUGUUCCUGCCCCAGUGUUCAAGUGCUUGCACCAGACAAUAAAAGUUGCAGUUCUAGAAAGUUCCGUGCGUGA